rnacentral:rRNA from 1 species
GACGAACCGUGCGAACGUUAUUCGGAUUCACUGGGCGUAAAGCGCGUGUAGGCGGCUGGUUAGGUGUGAUGUGAAAUCUUCCGGCUCAACCGGAAAACUGCAUUGCAAACCGGCCUGGCUAGAGUGCAGGAGAGGGAAGCGGAAUUCCAGGUGUAGCGGUGAAAUGCGUAGAUAUCGUCUGGAACGCCGAAGGUGAAAACAGCUCGCUGGGGCCGCGCUGACGCUGAGACACGAAAGCCAGGGGAGCGAACGGG